UACGUAGGUGGCGAGCGUUGUCCGGAAUUACUGGGUGUAAAGGGCGUGUAGGCGGGAAUAUAAGUCAGAUGUGAAAUUCCAUGGCUCAACUGUGGCGCUGCAUCUGAAACUAUAUUUCUUGAGUGCUGGAGAGGAAAGUGGAAUUCCUGGUGUAGCGGUGAAAUGCGUAGAUAUCAGGAGGAACACCAAUGGCGAAGGCAGCACUCUGGGACGUGACUGACGCUGAGACGCGAAAGCGUGGGGAGCAAACAGG
rnacentral:rRNA from 1 species